rnacentral:rRNA from 1 species
AACGAACGCUGGCGGCAGGCUUAACACAUGCAAGUCGAGCGCCCCGCAAGGGGAGCGGCAGACGGGUGAGUAACGCGUGGGAAUCUACCCAUCUCUACGGAAUAACGCAUGGAAACGUGUGCUAAUACCGUAUACGUCCUUCGGGAGAAAGAUUUAUCGGAGAUGGAUGAGCCCGCGUUGGAUUAGCUAGUUGGUGGGGUAAAGGCCUACCAAGGCGACGAUCCAUAGCUGGUCUGAGAGGAUGAUCAGCCACACUGGGACUGAGACACGGGCCAGACUCCGACGGGAGGCAGCAGUGGGAGAUAUUGGACAAUGGGCGCAAGCCUGAUCCAGCCAUGCCGCGUGAGUGAUGAAGGCCCUAGGGUUGUAAAGCUCUUUCACCGGUGAAGAUAAUGACGGUAACCGGAGAAGAAGCCCCGGCUAACUUCGUGCCAGCCGCCGCGGUAACAC